rnacentral:rRNA from 1 species
UACGGAGGGUGCAAGCGUUAAUCGGAAUUACUGGGCGUAAAGCGUGCGUAGACGGUUAUGUAAGUCAGAUGUGAAAGCCCCGGGCUCAACCUGGGAAUUGCAUUUGAGACUGCAUAGCUAGGGUGCGGAAGAGGGAAGCGGAAUUUCCGGUGUAGCGGUGAAAUGCGUAGAUAUCGGAAGGAACACCAGUGGCGAAAGCGGCUUCCUGGUCCAGCACCGACGUUCAGGCACGAAAGCGUGGGGAGCAAACAGG